CGGGACGGGUGAGUAAUGUCUGGGAAACUGCCUGAUGGAGGGGGAUAACACUGGAAACGGUAGCUAAUACCGCAUAACGUCGCAAGACCAAAGAGGGGGACCUUCGGGCCUCUUGCCAUCGGAUGUGCCCAGAUGGGAUUAGCUAGUAGGUGGGGUAACGGCUCACCUAGGCGACGAUCCCUAGCUGGUCUGAGAGGAUGCCAGCCACACUGGAACUGAGACACGGUCCAG
rnacentral:rRNA from 1 species